UUUGCCUCUGCUCACCACACCCUCAUCAC
rnacentral:piRNA from 1 species